rnacentral:lncRNA from 1 species
AUGCAAGCCUGGAGACCCAGGCAGCUACGAAAGGCCCACCGCCCACCUCCCCUCACUCUCGAGUCCUUUAUCCUUCAGAAUUUCUCCAGUUUCUGCCUCUGUUUAGUUACCCAGCAUUUUGUGCUGCCUUCGUGGAGUUUUUGGGGCGGUGUUUACAAGCUCUUCUUCUCUGCCUCCGCCCUGCUUUUGGCCCGGGCUUCGUGCCUCUUCAGUUUUCCAGCCAGACCCGGAAAAACGAAAACACAGCUCAGGGAGCCCCCACCAGCCGGUGCCUGUGCCAGCUCACCUCUGGCCAUGGCGCAGCUGGUGAUGCACACCGCAGCCAAGGCCAGCUCCACCGCCCUCCUUCCCUCUCCCCGCUUCUCGGGUACUGAGCCCUGCCUGCAGAGGAAGGGCCCCAGCUCCGCAGACUCCAGAGUGACUGGGUCCCUUCUCAUCAAAAAUGGUGAGACAAGAUCACCUUGUCUGCCGAGGAGCCCCAAGCAGGACCAGGCUGUGUGAAGUCACUUGGCACUGCGGUGACGGUGACCGAACGCUACCACGGUGAAAACGGGAGGAUAUGCAGGGUCUGGGAAGAGCCGCCGCUGCCACGGAAGACCCCAAUUCGCCUUGAAAGGUCCUCUCAUCCUGCGGAUUUGGGGGGAGAGCAAGUUUUUGGAGGAGCAACUGUCCCUCUGCCUGGUGGGUUCCUUCAGGGUCCAGGCCUUCAAAGCCACCAGCGCCCAGAGCCUCGGAAAGGAUCCCGCUUCCAACACUGCCCUGGUGAUAUUUCUCCCCGGAAGUCCCUGAGCAGGGAGAGGGGUACCUCACUUUUAGAACAACCGGCCCCAAGUCUCGGGCUCCCUUGAGAAGCACCCCCCUCCCCUGCACUGUGCCAGCCAGCAGCGCCCAGACUCCGCAGCAGCGCAGCAGCGUUAGUGCAAAGUUGCGAGCUGGGGGCUCUCGGGGUUCCUGCCUCUGAAACCAGCCGCCCUCCUCCUUCUCCUCCGUGGUGGCGGUCAGUCGGUUGGAACGGUGAGGGGAG